rnacentral:rRNA from 1 species
GAUGAACGCUAGCGGGAGGCCUAACACAUGCAAGCUGAGCGGUAUUUGUCUUUCGGGACAGAGAGAGCGGCGUACGGGUGCGUAACACGUGUGCAACCUGCCUUUAUCAGGAGGAUAGCCUUUCGAAAGGAAGAUUAAUACUCCAUAAUAUAUUAAUUGGCAUCAAUUGAUAUUGAAAACUCCGGUGGAUAAAGAUGGGCACGCGCAAGAUUAGAUAGUUGGUGAGGUAACGGCUCACCAAGUCGAUGAUCUUUAGGGGGCCUGAGAGGUGAUCCCCCACACUGGUACUGAGACACGGACCAGACUCCUACGGGAGGCAGCAGUGAGGAAUAUUGGACAAUGGGUUAGCGCCUGAUCCAGCCAUCCCGCGUGAAGGAUUAAGGACCUAUGGUUUGUAAACUUCUUUUGUACAGGGAUAAACCUACCUCGUGAGGGUAGCUGAAGGUACUGUACGAAUAAGCACCGGCUAACUCCGUGCCAGCAGCCGCGGU